rnacentral:rRNA from 1 species
AGUUACCAGCACGUUAUGUGGGCACUCUAAGGAGACUGCCGGUGCAACCGGAGGAAGGUGGGGAUGACGUCAAGUCAUCAUGGCCCUUACGGCCUGGGCUACACACGUGCUACAAUGGUCGGUACAAAGGGUUGCCAAGCCGCGAGGUGGAGCUAAUCCCAUAAAACCGAUCGUAGUCCGGAUCGCAGUCUGCAACUCGACUGCGUGAAGUCGGAAUCGCUAGUAAUCGUGAAUCAGAAUGUCACGGUGAAUACGUUCCCGGGCCUU